UUGCCACUACCUGAUUAGAUGUGGGAAAUAAAGCAUGCAAGGAAGACUGCAGAUGGACAUUUUGAGUGGGCAGAUCCGCAUUCAGAGCAGAUUCAUCUCGACUCAAGGACCUAGUACAGCAACAAGAUUCAAAUAGUGAUUGCCAACUGACCUCAGAUGAGAUUUUAAGCCAAGUUCUUGAUGAAAGGUCAGGGUAUGUCAGAGGUAAAGGUUACGGAGUGCAUCCUGCGAAAAAAAGGGCUCAAUCUCAAUCUUUUGAGAUGGAAAAAAUACAACAACAAAUGAAAGUAGAUUUUGAGAGGAGACUUCAACAAGAGCGUGAGAAACAUCAACAAGAGUGUGAGCAGAUGGAACAAAAUUUUUCUCAAAGGAUUCGAGAUGAAGUGGCUGCCAUCAUGGCUUCAUUUCAGCAAGGACAGUCUUAGGCACUAGCUCCAACUCCAGGUUCAACUCCAAUGAAUGAUGCAUGAAGUGGUGGUAAUAGUUUCAAUAGUUUAGC